rnacentral:rRNA from 1 species
CCACGUUAAUUUUAACUUUAAUUAUAAAUUUAUAUACCGCCAUCUAAAAAACUAAUUUUAUAAUAAUAUUUUCAAUAAAAAAUAAAAAGUUAGGUCAAGGUGUAAUCUAUAUUAAAGUAAAUAAUGGGUUACAUUAAAAAUAAUUUAAGGAUUUUUAUGUUAAAAUAUAUUAUAAAAAAGGAUUUAAAAGUAAUAAAAUAAUAAUAUUUUAUUAUGAUUUGAUAAUAAAUGUGCACACAUCGCCCGUCCAA